rnacentral:rRNA from 1 species
AUGAACGCUGGCUACAGGCUUAACACAUGCAAGUCGAGGGGAAACGACGGGGAAGCUUGCUUCCCCGGGCGUCGACCGGCGCACGGGUGAGUAACGCGUAUCCAACCUGCCUCUGACUGAGGGAUAACCCGUCGAAAGUCGGCCUAAUACCUCAUGGCAUCGUCUGCGGGCAUCCAACGACGAUUAAAGAUUUCAUCGGUCAGAGAUGGGGAUGCGUCUGAUUAGCUUGUUGGCGGGGUAACGGCCCACCAAGGCGACGAUCAGUAGGGGUUCUGAGAGGAAGGUCCCCCACAUUGGAACUGAGACACGGUCCAAACUCCUACGGGAGGCAGCAGUGAGGAAUAUUGAUCAAUGGGCGAGAGCCUGAACCAGCCAAGUAGCGUGCAGGAUGACGGCCCUAUGGGUUGUAAACUGCUUUUAUGCGGGGAUAAAGUGAGGGACGUGUCCUUCAUUGCAGGUACCGCAUGAAUAAGGACCGGCUAAUUCCGUG